GCUGGCAAUCAUAGCACUGUGGAACCACCUGAACCCAUGCCGAACUCAGAAGUGAAACGCAGUAGCGCCGAUGGUAGUGUAAGGACUCCUUAUGCGAGAGUAGGACAUUGCCAGCA
rnacentral:rRNA from 1 species